AUUGAACGCUGGCGGCAUGCUUUACACAUGCAAGUCGAACGGUAACAGGCCGCAAGGUGCUGACGAGUGGCGAACGGGUGAGUAAUGCAUCGGAACGUGCCCAGUCGUGGGGGAUAACGCAGCGAAAGCUGCGCUAAUACCGCAUACGAUCUAGGGAUGAAAGCGGGGGACCGUAAGGCCUCGCGCGAUUGGAGGGGCCGAUAUCAGAUAAGGUAGUUGGUGGGGUAAAGGCCCACCAAGCCGACGACCUGUAGCUGGUCUGAGAGGACGACCAGCCACACUGGGACUGAGACACGGCCCAGACUCCUACGGGAGGCAGCAGUGGGGAAUUUUGGACAAUGGGCGAAAGCCUGAUCCAGCCAUGCCGCGUGCAGGAUGAAGGCCUUCGGGUUGUAAACUGCUUUUGUACGGAACGAAAAGGACUGCCCUAAUACGGUGGUCCCAUGACGGUACCGUAAGAAUAAGCACCGGCUAACUACGUGCCAGCAGCCGCCGCCGUAA
rnacentral:rRNA from 1 species